ACCAUACAAUCACUAAAGUUAAGCAACAUUGAGCCUGGUCAUUACCUAGAUGGGUGACCGCUUGGGAAUACCAGGUGCUGUUAG